rnacentral:rRNA from 1 species
AUUGAACGCUGGCGGCAUGCCUUACACAUGCAAGUCGAACGGCAGCACGGGGGGUAACCCCUGGUGGCGAGUGGCGAACGGGUGAGUAAUAUAUCGGAACGUGUCCUGUAGCGGGGGAUAACCUAUCGAAAGAUGGACUAAUACCGCAUACGACCUACGGGUGAAAGCGGAGGACCGCAAGGCUUCGCCCUAUAGGAGCGGCCGAUAUCGGAUUAGCUAGUUGGCGGGGUAACGGCCCACCAAGGCGACGAUCCGUAGCUGGUCUGAGAGGACGAUCAGCCACACUGGAACUGAGACACGGUCCAGACUCCUACGGGAGGCAGCAGUGGGGAAUUUUGGACAAUGGGCGCAAGCCUGAUCCAGCCAUGCCGCGUGAGUGAAGAAGGCCUUCGGGUUGUAAAGCUCUUUCGGCGGGGACGAAACGGUUCGUGCUAAUACCACGGACUACUGACGGUACCCGCAGAAGAAGCACCGGCUAACUACGUG